rnacentral:rRNA from 1 species
GACAGAGGCCUCGAGCGUUAGGCGGAAUCACUGGGCUUAAAGCGUGUGUAGGCGGAUCGUUAAGUACCUUGUGAAAUCCCACGGCUCAACCGUGGAACGGCUGGGUAUACUGGCGGUCUUGGGCCAUUCAGGGGCGACUGGAACAAGCGGUGGAGCGGUGAAAUGCGUAGAUAUCGGAAGGAACAUCAGUGGCGAAAGCGACUUCCUGGACCAAUACUGACGCUCAUGUGCGAAAGCGUGGGGAGCAAACAGG